rnacentral:rRNA from 1 species
GCGUGCCUAACACAUGCAAGUCGAGCGGGGAGAUACAGUAGUUUACUACAGUAUGAUCCUAGCGGCGGACGGGUGAGUAACGCGUGGAUAACCUACCCCAUACAGGGGAACAACAGCGAGAAAUCGCUGCUAAUACCGCAUAGGGUCCUGUGAAGAAAGAUGGCCUCUGAUUCAAGCUGUCGCCCCCAGAUGAGUCCGCGGUUGAUUAGCUAGUUGGUGGGGUAAUGGCCCACCAAGGCGACGAUCAAUAGCCGGCCUGAGAGGGCGAUCGGCCACACUGGAACUGAGACACGGUCCAGACUCCUACGGGAGGCAGCAGUGGGGAAUAUUGCGCAAUGGGCGAAAGCCUGACGCAGCAACGCCGCGUGGAGGAUGACGGUUUUCGGACUGUAAACUCCUGUCAGGUGGGACCAUCUGGGACGGUACCACCAGAGGAAGCCCCGGCUAACUCCGUGCCAGCAGCCGCGGUAAUACGGGGGGGGCAAGCGUUAUUCGGAAUCAUUGGGCGUAAAGGGCGCGUAGGCGGCCUGACAAGUCAGAUGUGAAAGCCCGAAGCUCAACUUCGGGACUGCAUUUGAAACUGUUUUACUAGAGUACAGGAGAGGAAAGUGGAAUUCCUAGUGUAGCGGUGAAAUGCGUAGAUAUUAGGAGGAACACCAGUGGCGAAGGCGACUUUCUGGACUGUAACUGACGCUGAGACUCGAAAGCGUGGGGAGCGAACAGGAUUAGAUACCCUGGUAGUCCACGCCGUAAACGAUGAAUGCUAGGUGUCGGGCCUGUAGUGGGUCGGUGCCGCAGCUAACGCAUUAAGCAUUCCACCUGGGGAGUACGAUCGCAAGAUUGAAACUCAAAGGAAUUGACGGGGGCCCGCACAAGCGGUGGAGCAUGUGGUUUAAUUCGAAGCAACGCGAAGAACCUUACCAGGUCUUGACAUCCCAUUGACCGGAACUUAAUCGUUCCCUCUCUUUUGAGCAAUGGAGACAGGUGGUGCAUGGUUGUCGUCAGCUCGUGUCGUGAGAUGUUGGGUUAAGUCCCGCAACGAGCGCAACCCUUAUCUUUAGUAACCAGCACGUAAUGGUGGGGACUCUAGAGAGACUGCCGGGGAUAACUCGGAGGAAGGUGGGGAUGACGUCAAAUCAUCAUGCCCCUUAUGACCUGGGCUACACACGUGCUACAAUGGCGGAUACAAAGGGAAGCAAACCCGUGAGGUCGAGCAAACCCCAUAAAGUCCGUCCCAGUCCGGAUUGUAGUCUGCAUCUCGACUACAUGAAGUUGGAAUCGCUAGUAAUCGCGAAUCAGAGUGUCGCGGUGAUACGUUCCCGGGUCUUGUACACACCGCCCGUCACACCACGGAAGUCGGAAGCGCCCGAAGCCGAUGGCCCGACCGCAAGGAGGGAGUCGUCGAAG